rnacentral:rRNA from 1 species
AUUGAACGCUGGCGGCAUGCUUUACACAUGCAAGUCGAACGGUAACAGGCCGCAAGGUGCUGACGAGUGGCGAACGGGUGAGUAAUGCAUCGGAACGUGCCCAGUCGUGGGGGAUAACUACUCGAAAGAGUAGCUAAUACCGCAUACGAUCUAUGGAUGAAAGCGGGGGACCGUAAGGCCUCGCGCGAUUGGAGCGGCCGAUGUCAGAUUAGGUAGUUGGUGGGGUAAAGGCUCACCAAGCCAACGAUCUGUAGCUGGUCUGAGAGGACGACCAGCCACACUGGGACUGAGACACGGCCCAGACUCCUACGGGAGGCAGCAGUGGGGAAUUUUGGACAAUGGGCGCAAGCCUGAUCCAGCAAUGCCGCGUGCAGGAAGAAGGCCUUCGGGUUGUAAACUGCUUUUGCACGGAACGAAACGGCUCUGGUUAAUACCCGGGGCUAAUGACGGCACCGUAAGAAUAAGCACCGGCUAACUACGUG